ACGCUCGACACCUACAGGAGGCAGCAGUGGGGAAUAUUGCACAAUGGGGGAAACCCUGAUGCAGCAACGCCGCGUGAGUGAAGAAGUAUUUCGGUAUGUAAAGCUCUAUCAGCAGGGAAGAUAAUGACGGUACCUGACUAAGAAGCUCCGGCUAAAUACGUUCCAGCAGCCGCGGUAAUCUGAGCGGGCUGGCAAGGC
rnacentral:rRNA from 1 species